rnacentral:misc_RNA from 1 species
GAUGAGAACGUAGCGAAAUGCGAUAAGUAUUGUGAAUUGCAGAAUUCAGUGAAUCAUCGAAUCUUUGAACGCACAUUGCGCCCCCUGGUAUUCCGGGGGGCAUGCCUGAUCGAGCGUCAUUUCACCACUCAAGCCUCGCUUGGUAUUGGGCAACGCGGUCCGCCGCGUGCCUCAAAUCGACCGGCUGGGUCUUCUGUCCCCUAAGCGUUGUGGAAACUAUUCGCUAAAGGGUGUUCGGGAGGCUACGCCGUAAAACAACCCCAUUUCUAAGGUUGACCUCGGAUCAGGUAGGGAUACCCGCUGAACUUAAGCAUAUCAAUAAGCGGAGGA